GAGUGAGCUUUAAAUCUGAUUUCAGAUCAUUUUCUCAUUUCCUAAUGAAAGAACCUAGUGGGGAAACCCCUACUCAAUUCUUGAUUCGGCGUGCACCCAAAGAAUCAUGAGAGACC
rnacentral:pre_miRNA from 7 species